UACGUAGGGUGCAAGCGUUAAUCGGAAUUACUGGGCGUAAAGCGUGCGCAGGCGGUUUUGUAAGUUUGUCGUGAAAGCCCCGGGCUCAACCUGGGAAUUGCGAUGAAGACUGCAAGGCUUGAAUCUGGCAGAGGGGGGUAGAAUUCCACGUGUAGCAGUGAAAUGCGUAGAGAUGUGGAGGAACACCGAUGGCGAAGGCAGCCCCCUGGGUCAAGAUUGACGCUCAUGCACGAAAGCGUG
rnacentral:rRNA from 1 species